UUGGUUAAGUUAGAAAGGGCGCACGGUGGAUGCCUUGGCACUAGGAGCCGAAGAAGGACGGGACUAACACCGAUAUGCUUUGGGGAGCUGUACGUAAGCGUUGAUCCAGAGAUUUCCGAAUGGGGGAACCCACUAUCUUUAGUCGGAUAGUAUCCUUACGUGAAUACAUAGCGUGAGGAAGGCAGACCCAGGGAACUGAAACAUCUAAGUACCUGGAGGAAGAGAAAGAAAAAUCGAUUUCCUGAGUAGCGGCGAGCGAAACGGAAAGAGCCCAAACCAAGAAGCUUGCUUCUUGGGGUUGUAGGACACUCUAUACGGAGUUACAAAAGAAAGUUAUAAAUGAAGCGGUCUGGAAAGGCCCGCCAAAGACGGUAACAGCCCGGUAGUUGAAAUGGCUUUCCCUCCAGAGUGGAUCCUGAGUACGGCGGAACACGUGAAAUUCCGUCGGAAUCCGGGAGGACCAUCUCCCAAGGCUAAAUACUCCCUAGUGACCGAUAGUGAACCAGUACCGUGAGGGAAAGGUGAAAAGCACCCCGGAAGGGGAGUGAAACAGUUCCUGAAACCGUGUGCCUACAAGUAGUUAGAGCCCGUUAAUGGGUGAUAGCGUGCCUUUUGUAGAAUGAACCGGCGAGUUACGAUUUGUUGCAAGGUUAAGCGGAAAAAGCGGAGCCGUAGCGAAAGCGAGUCUGAAUAGGGCGCAUAAGUAACAGGUCGUAGACCCGAAACCAGGUGAUCUACCCAUGUCCAGGAUGAAGGUAAGGUAAUACUUACUGGAGGUCCGAACCCACGCACGUUGAAAAGUGCGGGGAUGAGGUGUGGGUAGCGGAGAAAUUCCAAUCGAACUUGGAGAUAGCUGGUUCUCUCCGAAAUAGCUUUAGGGCUAGCCUCGAGGUAAAGAGUCAUGGAGGUAGAGCACUGUUUGGACUAGGGGCCCUUCUCGGGUUACCGAAUUCAGAUAAACUCCGAAUGCCAUGUACUUAUACUCGGGAGUCAGACUGCGAGUGAUAAGAUCCGUAGUCGAAAGGGAAACAGCCCAGACCACCAGUUAAGGUCCCCAAAUAUAUGUUAAGUGGAAAAGGAUGUGGGGUUGCUUAGACAACCAGGAUGUUGGCUUAGAAGCAGCCACCAUUGAAAGAGUGCGUAAUAGCUCACUGGUCGAGUGACCCCGCGCCGAAAAUGUACCGGGGCUAAACAUAUUACCGAAACUGUGGAUGAACCUCUUUAGAGGUUCGUGGUAGGAGAGCGUUCUAAGGGCGGUGAAGUCAGACCGGAAGGACUGGUGGAGCGCUUAGAAG
rnacentral:rRNA from 1 species